UACGUAGGGGGCAAGCGUUGUCCGGAUUUAUUGGGCGUAAAGAGCGUGUAGGCGGUCAGGUAGGUCCGUUGUGAAAACUCGAGGCUCAACCUCGAGACGCCGAUGGAAACCAUCUGACUAGAGUCCGGAAGAGGAGAGUGGUAUUCCUGGUGUAGCGGUGAAAUGCGCAGAUAUCAGGAAGAACACCCGUGGCGAAGGCGGUUCUCUGGGACGGUACUGACGCUGAGACGCGAAAGCGUGGGGAGCGAACAGG
rnacentral:rRNA from 1 species